rnacentral:rRNA from 1 species
UACGGAGGGGGCUAGCGUUGUUCGGAAUUACUGGGCGUAAAGCGCACGUAGGCGGCUUUGCAAGUUAGAGGUGAAAGCCCGGGGCUCAACUCCGGAAUUGCCUUUAAAACUGCAUCGCUAGAAUUGUGGAGAGGUAAGUGGAAUUCCGAGUGUAGAGGUGAAAUUCGUAGAUAUUCGGAAGAACACCAGUGGCGAAGGCGGCGAUCUGGGUCGAUACUGACGCUGAGGUGCGAAAGCGUGGGGAGCAAAUGGG